ACUGCUUUCUAUUCAUAAAAAGCAGACGAACCUUCCACUUCAGGCAGAUUAGCUCUUCUCUGGAUCCAAAGACGUCUUAUUGACUGCUAAACAUGAAGUUGAGAUUGAGCUUAAUUUUUAUUUGUGCUCUUUUAAAAGAUGUCCAGUGUGAAGUACAGCUGGUGGAGUCUGGAGGAGGUUUGGUGAAACCUGGGGCUUCUCUGAAACUCUCUUGUGUAGCCUCGGGAUUCACUUUCAGUGACUACUGGAUGAGCUGGGUUCGCCAGACUCCUGGAAAGACCAUGGAGUGGAUUGGAGAUAUUAAAUAUGAUGGCAGUUACACAAACUAUGCACCAUCCCUAAAGAAUCGAUUCACAAUCUCCAGAGACAAUGCCAAGAGCACCCUGUACCUGCAGAUGAGCAAUGUGAGAUCUGAGGACACAGCCACUUAUUACUGUACUAGAGACACAAUGAAUGAACUUCACUGUGAAACUAGACAUAAACCUCACUGUGUUCAGUGUGAAGUGCAGCGGAGAGAGGCAGGGGGAUUCUUGGCACAGUCUGAAAAUUCCAUAAAACUCACCUGUGGCACCUCUGGGUUCCCUUUCUAUGAAUACUGGGUAGUAUGA